rnacentral:lncRNA from 12 species
CCCAAUGCUAAAAUCCAUUCAUUUUACUAAUCAUGCAAUCAACCAAUCUCCAUUAUCUCCAGAGCUGGCUAUAAACAUGCUAUAGACUGGGGUGAAAGAGGGAGAGUGUGAGGUUGAGAGACAGAGAGAGGGAAAGAAAGAAAGAAAGAGAGAGAGAUUACUGCACCCAGCCUUUAUAAAGCCGUUUCUUUCAUUAUAACAGGUCUUUUCAUCCCAGUGACACAGAACCUUUAAAUUUGGGCAUAAUGCUCCAGUACAGUACACAGCUAUAGCUUCAAAUGGAUUUAGAACCUGCUCCAGAAAGAAAACAAACUCCCUCGCUUGACACACAAAUUGUUUACGAUUCAUUAAAAAGCAAAAUUGCAUAUCCCAGUGCUGGCAGCUGAGUCCAUAUGGGUGCAAGGGGUAUUCACUCAUCUCUUUGUAUGCUGGCAGUACCAAACCGAAGUUUAGCACUGUGCAGCUGAGAUUUUGUGCAGCCAGACGAUGCAUGAGGGAUCCACAGGAAAGCAGUUCAGCUCCCCAGUACACCAAACAAGCUGAUUUUCUCCAGCCCAAACUCUGAUACAUUCAAAAUGAAUCCAGAAAGAAUCAGAGAAUGAUUCACAGCAUAGCCACAAGUCCAUUACCACAGACAAACCCCAGCCUGCAGCUGAAUUUACUCUUUUGCCAAGGAAACAGACAACUGCUAUUCAAGUA